rnacentral:tRNA from 1 species
UUAUUAGUAGGUUAUUUAAACUUAUAGAUUGUGGUUCUGUAGAAUACUUGUUUAUUUAGUACUAGUAAA